UACGUAGGUGGCGAGCGUUGUCCGGAUUUACUGGGCGUAAAGAGCGCGCAGGCGGUCGUUCAAGUCGAGUGUGAAAGCCCCGGCUCAACUGGGGAGGGUCACUCGAUACUGAUCGACUUGAAGGCAGGAGAGGGAAGCGGAAUUCCCGGUGUAGUGGUGAAAUGCGUAGAUAUCGGGAGGAACACCAGUGGCGAAGGCGGCUUCCUGGCCUGCUCUUGACGCUGAGGCGCGAAAGCUAGGGUAGCAAACGGG
rnacentral:rRNA from 1 species